UCUUCCCACCUGCCUGGCUGGGGCCGGGGAAGCAGUGACUCCUCAGAUAUCAGGGUGGCAGAAGAGGAGCAGGGGUAGUGAGCGCCUCCACUGCAGCAUAUACUGCUUCUUGUCCUAUCUCCACCUUAGAAAGGGAGGCCCUGGACUCUGUGGGGUUUAUGCCUCAUUCCCAGGCCCUGCAGACAACACGCCUGCAACAGAGAUUUCUUGUCACUUUAUUCAGAUUCGUCUGCAGGAUUCGCUUUCAGACGAUGGCUCUUAGCUGUUCCUGGGACUUCGGAGUCCACGCCCAGAUGGACUAGAUGGAGGCCAGUGACCCUGAGAUGGAUUAUGUGUGGGCAGCCGCUCCUGCCUGUGUGAUUGGGAUUGUCUCCACCCGGCCAUGUCUUUAAGGAAAAGAAAAUACCAGGAGAGAAUAAAGCAUUAAAGUCAUGCUGGGACGUGACAGAUGUUUCACGUGAAGAACCCAGCCUCCCCCACCAUGCUGGCAGACCCUCCGAGGCCUACCCAGGCUCAUCUUCAACUACAGCCGCACUGGGAGUUAGGGCUUCAGUAUAUGAAUUUGGGAGGGACCCAUUUCAGUCCACAGAAGAGCCACAUAGAGAAGCAGCUUCUUGAUACCCUGCCCAUGGGAGACUCCGAGCUGAUCUAUGGUUGACUGGGAGCCGCCUCCUUUCCUCCAUUUCAGGUCACUGCGCAGAUCUGCCCAGGAGCUGCUCUUUCCUUCAACCCCUUCAGGCUGAGGAGGUAGCUGGUGCUGAGGAAGACCCCAGGACGUGGAGGUGCUGACGCAGGGGUCAGGAGCUGCAUCUGCCCAGGGCGCUGUUUCUUGACUUUUCUGAGGUUCGGUAUCCUCUCUGCAAAAUGGGGGCAAUGGCAGUGCCCACCUCCCGGGGAGACGUGACCACGGCUGUGCGGCCCUUGGCCCAGAAUCUGGCGCACGAAAUCUCUCCGAAAUGUCAGCGGCAAUAAUCGUGGAUCUCAUUGAUUUCAAAUGUGGACAAAGCAUAAAAUGGAGACAAAAAAACACUCGUAUCAGCAUAUGUAAGGCUUUCUACCAGUGCCUCUGAAACCAGCAGAACAUGGGAGCAGGCGGCCUGCCCAGGCUCCUGUGGGCCCCGCUCCCCCUCCAGCUACGCUGAGGCUCUAGGGCUCUGGGGGGCUCUGGCAUGGCAUCCUGUGGUCCUGGGUGUAACUGCCCCCCUGCCUCGGCUCCAAGGCUCAGCCGCCUCCCUGCAGUCUCUGGCUCACAGUUUCUGGGGCGAAGAACUGCUGCGUGGCUUCCGAGGAAGGGCACUCAGCUCCACAGUCAGCGACGGAGAACAAGAGGGGGCCAGUCUCCUCUGUGUCUUGGGUCCCCCCCCCCCCGUGUAAUGUAGCCUCGGGAAACCUCUGAACAGCAGUGGGGAGUGGGCUGCAUGGUGCUGUUUGUGAGCAGUAUGUGAGUCAUGUUCCUGCUUUGAAGCCAUCUGUACCUUUUAACCGAGAAACUGAGACCUAGGGGCCCAGAGGCAGACCAGAGACAAGCCUCCCCGCUGGUGAGAGGCAGGACACGGCAGGGGGGAGCUUGGGGAGGCUGGGAGCAACUUCUGAGGUCUAGAGCUGUGCUGAAAGGCUCCUGCCCCCAGGGGCACAGACCACACCACGCCGCCUGCUCCCGCUGCAGCGCAAUCUACCCCUAGGCCUUGUGGCUCCAUGAUGGCCGACCCUAUGAGGGGAGGACAAGCCCAUGUUGGCCAAACUCAGACUUGUCCCUGAGAACCUGCCUGAUGCUUUACUCACUUGCUUUCUCUGAGGUCUCAAAGAAUGGAGACACCUUGCCAUGCCCAGACUCUGUUUGAAGGACACCUGACUUGCCAAAUUAUUUCUUUUCACAUUUUAAGUGUCCAGAGGAGCAGAAAGCUGCAGCCCUUUCUCUUUCCUCCUCCCAGCUUGCUGCAGGAGAGGAGCAUCUGGGGCAGCAGGGUAUGUGUUGGCUGCUCAGUGGGAAGCAGAGCAAGGAGUUAUGUAGAUACUGUCAUUUUUUUUAACUACUUCCCAUCCAAAACUAUAGUUACCUUUUUCGUCCGCAUCUUCAGGUUCCAACAAACCAGGGACUUUCCAGCUGCCAAGAAUAAGAAAGAGCCAAGGAAAUGGACAAAUAUUUCUUGCUUGUGAGGACAGAGCUUAUAACUUGGUGGAAAGACUGACUGUAACUUCAGAUGGUGAUGAGUGCUAUGAAAAAAUAAACAAAGCAGAGAAAGGGGUAAAGAGCUAAAAAACACUUGGGAUUGCAAUUUUAAAUAGAGUGGUUAGGCAGGGCCUCCCUGAACAGGUGCCAACUGGGCAAGGACUUGAGUGGGGUGAGGGAGUGAGCCUGCAGCUGUCUGUGGUAGGAGGUAAACCUACAGUCAGAGGAACAGAAAGUGCAAAAGCCCUGAGGUAGGAGGGUGCUUGUGUCUUGCCUGAGCCCUGGGCAAGUUCUCUACAGAUUUGGUGAGACUGAGAAAUGACAACGGAACGUUCUCGGGGUGAAAGGGUUUACAUCCAGCUUUAUUCUCCUGGCAGUAGGUUGAGCACUGGAAUCACAGUUGCAUCCAGAAGUCUGCAGGUGUGUAAUCCAGCUCCAUCUCUGCCUCCACCCAGAGCACUGGGCAGAGCUCUUUAUAUAGUGACUGAGUCAAUAAUAUCUCAGUGUCAACAGGUGUGGGAGCAAUAGCCUAGCAGUAGGCCAAUUACAUCAUCAAGGAGUUUAGGGUCAGAUGAGGAUCCUGGCCAUAGGGAACUUCCAUUUUCCUCACACUGAUGCACACAUUGUUAAAGGAUGUCAGACAAGGCUGCGCUCUGCCUUCUUGUUUCUGUUCCCCAACUAUAAGCAUAUGUCCUUAGUGCAACAUUGUGUGUGUGUGUGUUUGGUGACUUUACUGCUUAAAAUGGCCCCAAGCCUGGUGCUGAAGUGCUGUGUGGUGCUCCUAAGUGUUCUCGUCUUCCUGGGGCAUCACCUGCAUCCCACCUAGAGCCUUCCUCUCAUCUGGGAGGAUUAGAAGUGAUGGCAGGACAGCAGACAGGAAGCUUGCCAUGCAUGCCUCCUGAUUCACCCUUUUUGAACUUCUGCCAUGGGGACAAUACUUUGGAUGAGUCAAGGUGUGCAUGGACAUCAGGCGAUCCUGACCUCCGACUGGUCUGGGAAGCUGGCAGAUGCUGCCUUGCAGGACGCUCCUGCCAGGGGGGAGGACACCAAAGUAGGAUGGUCAGGUGUAGUCAGGUAGAUGAAGGCUCUCAGGAAUGGUUUCACCAAGUUUCCCUGAGGUUUUGAAGUGACCUAGGCAGAACCCCAAAGUAGCUGGGAGUCACCUGUAAGUCCUGCCAGAACAGGGUUUUUCAGCUAAGGACAAGGAGGCCUGUUUUAGGGCUGGGGAAUGCUGACAUACCAGGCCAAGUGGGAGUCCUGCCAGGCCUCUGAAGGGUCUGCUGUGCUAUGAUGCGGGGUGAGGCCUAGUAGGCCAGGGGCAUGCCUAGGACAGACCUCAUCCCUGAAGACUCCUUGUUCAGAUGCACCCGGAGCAGAGGGAGAGAGGCAGGGAAGGGGAGGGAUCCCUAAGAGACCAGCAUUUUUAUCUAGGAGAGGCUCAACCCACAAAAGCCUUUCAACGCCUCUCAAAAAUUAAUGUACACAAAGGUUGCCUGGGGAUCUUAUAAAAUGCAGAUUCUGAUUCAGCAGGCCUGAGACUUGAAUGAGCUGGUGUCCCUGGGCUCUGACCUCACUCUGAGUGGCCAGGCUCUAGGUCAGUGGGUCAGAUUGCCCUUGACCUGAGCUGCAGUUUUAGUGGUUUCUUCUUCCAAAAAAUAGUGGUGGAGUUUCAGGAGGAGAACAAGAGUCUUCUAAACACAGAAAAGAGUAACAUUUCCUUUUGCAUGUCUAAGAUGCAGGGUGGCAGACUUUCACACCAAAAGCCAGAGGCACAGGCACAGCUCCUGGCUUGAGCUGUCCUUACAUCACACAGUUAAAGAACCGCAGUGCAAGACUCUGGUCUUCUGACUGCCAGUUUCAUGUGCUUCCCAUUCCCCUGGACCGCCAGGACUCCCAAGAUUCCAGGGCCUGGAGGACUGCCCCAUUCCAAUCAUUCCAGAAAGACCCAGAGGCAAGGGAAGGACCCUGGAGAGAAGGUAGGCAGGUCAGGCAUGGUCAAUUUAGGACUGAAUGGCUUUGAUGUGGUUCCUUUUGAUGACAAAGAACUCAGUUCAAGAAGCAUUUACUGAGCACCUUCAGGGCAGGCAAAGUCCUAUCAGUGCUAUUGAUGCACCAAGAGCGAAGAAGACAAGAGAUGGUCCUGACCCAGGAGUUUCCUGUGUGGCUGGGAGGAAUGGGACACAAAUAGUCACGCUUCCAAGAUUUAUAUUUUAUUGCAUUCAAUGUGAAACUGUGGGAUAUGAAGUGUCAUCGUUCAGACUGCAUCUAAUAAGACCAUGUAGAGUCAACUAUCUUAACAGGAAGUUCCAUAGCAGAAAAAUAAGGACAGUUCAACAUUUCUGGAAACAUUGCUGCAGUCUUGAUUUGGUCCUGAUUGUACCAUUCGCUGCACCUAGCGGCCACUCACCUGAAUUGCAGGGUCAGUUCUUUGCUCCCCAUCUCCCCCUUUGAAAUUGAAUUUGCAAAUAUAAAUGCAUGAUGACAUGUAAUGUAAAUGUCUCAAAGAAUUAUCUCUUUGCUGUUGAAUGAAAAAUCUUUCCCACUUAGGAACUCUGGCAAUUUAUCACCAGUUUUGUGCCCACAGCCACUUUUUUUUUUUUAUUUUUUUUUUUAUUUUUUUUAGAUAAUUAUUUUUUAUUGAAGGGUAGUUGACACACAGUAUUACAUUACAUUAGUUUCAGGUGUACAACACAGUGAUUCAACAUUUAUAUACAUGAUAAUUCUAGGUACCAGCUAUCACCAUACCAAGUUGUUACAAUAUUUUGACUAUAUUCCUUAUGCUAUACAUUACAUCCCGGUUACUUAUUUAUUUUACAAUUGGAAGUGUGUACUUUUUUUUGGUUGUUGUUGUUAGGGCAUCUCUCAUAUUUAUUGAUCAAAUGGUUGUUAACAACAAUAAAAUUCUGUAUAGGGGAGUCAAUGCUCAAUGCACAAUCAUUAAUCCACCCCAAGCCUAAUUUUCGUCAGUCUCCAAUCUUCUGAAGCAUAACGAACAAGUUCUUACAUGGAGAACAAAUUCUUACAUAGUGACUAAGUUACAUGGUGAACAGUACAAGGGCAGUCAUCACAGAAACUUUUGGUUUUGCUCAUGCAUUAUGAACUAUAAACAGUCAGUUCAAAUAUGAAUACACAUUUGAUUUUUAUACUUGAUUUAUAUGUGGAUACCACAUUUCUCUCUUUAUUAUUUUUAAUAAAAUGCUGAAGUGGUAGGUAGAUACAACAUAAAGGUAGAAAACAUAGUUUAGUGUUGUAAGAGAGCAAAUGUAGAUGAUCAGGUGUGUGCCUGUAGACUAUGUGUUAAUCCAAGCUAGACAAGGGCAAUAAAACAUCCACAUAUGCAGAAGAUUUCUCUCAGAACAGGGGGGUGAGGUUCUAAGCCUCACCUCUGUUGAUCCCCAAUUUCUCACCUGAUGACCCCCCUGCGACUGUGCCUGUCUUAGGUUGUUCCUCCCUUGAGGAAUCUUACCCGUCUCUGGCUAACCAGUC